rnacentral:rRNA from 1 species
AACGAACGCUGGCGGCAUGCCUAACACAUGCAAGUCGAACGAGACCUUCGGGUCUAGUGGCGCACGGGUGCGUAACGCGUGGGAACCUGCCCUUAGGUUCGGAAUAACUCCCCGAAAGGGGUGCUAAUACCGGAUAAUGUCUUCGGACCAAAGAUUUAUCGCCUUUGGAUGGGCCCGCGUUGGAUUAGCUAGUUGGUAGGGUAAAAGCCUACCAAGGCGACGAUCCAUAGCUGGUCUGAGAGGAUGAUCAGCCACACUGGGACUGAGACACGGCCCAGACUCCUACGGGAGGCAGCAGUGGGGAAUAUUGGAGAAUGGGCGAAAGCCCGAUCCAGCAAUGCCGCGUGAGUGAUGAAGGCCGUAGGGUUGUAAAGCUCUUUUACCCGGGAUGAUAAUGACAGUACCGGGAGAAUAAGCUCCGGCUAACUACGUG